rnacentral:rRNA from 1 species
AACGAACGCUGGCGGCGUGCCUAACACAUGCAAGUCGCGCGGGAAAGUUCCCUUCGGGGAGCGAGUAUAGCGGCGCACGGGUGAGUAAUACGUAGGUAACCUGCCCUCGAGACUGGGACAACCUGUCGAAAGACGGGCUAAUACCGGAUAAGACCACGAGAGCUGCGGCUCUUGGGGUAAAAGGUGGCCUCUGCUUGCAAGCUAUCACUUGAGGAUGGGGCCUGCGCGCCAUUAGCUAGUUGGUGAGGUAACGGCUCACCAAGGCAGAGAUGGCUAGCUGGUCUGAGAGGAUGACCAGCCACACUGGGACUGAGACACGGCCCAGACUCCUACGGGAGGCAGCAGUGGGGAAUAUUGCGCAAUGGGCGAAAGCCUGACGCAGCGACGCCGCGUGGGUGA